UCCGGCUUAUCACCGGCAGUUUCUUUAGAGUGCUCAACUAAAUGGUAGCAACUAAAGACGAGGGUUGCGCUCGUUGCGGGACUUAACCCAACAUCUCACGACACGAGCUGACGACAGCCAUGCAGCACCUGUGUUCCGGUUCCCUUUCGGGCACAGCCGCCUUUCAGCAGCCUUCCAGACAUGUCAAGGGUAGGUAAGGUUGUUCGCGUUGCAUCGAAUUAAUCCACAUCAUCCACCGCUUGUGCGGGUCCCCGUCAAUUCCUUUGAGUUUUAACCUUGCGGCCGUACUCCCCAGGCGGCUCUCUUCACGCGUUAGCUACGACACUGAACGGUCAGACCGCCCAACAUCCAGCACACAUCGUUUACGGCGUGGACUAC
rnacentral:misc_RNA from 1 species